GAAACGGGUGGUAAUGCCGGAUGCUCCAGUUGAUCGCAUGGUCUUCUGGGAAAGCUUUCGCGGUAUGGGAUGGGGUCGCGUCCUAUCAGCUUGACGGCGGGGUAACGGCCCACCGUGGCUUCGACGGGUAGCCGGCCUGAGAGGGCGACCGGCCACAUUGGGACUGAGAUACGGCCCAGACUCCUACGGGAGGCAGCAGUGGGGAAUAUUGCACAAUGGGCGCAAGCCUGAUGCAGCGACGCCGCGUGAGGGAUGGAGGCCUUCGGGUUGUAAACCUCUUUUAUCGGGGAGCAAGCGAGAGUGAGUUUACCCGUUGAAUAAGCACCGGCUAACUACGUGCCAGCAGCCGCGGUAAUACGUAGGGUGCAAGCGUUAUCCGGAAUUAUUGGGCGUAAAGGGCUCGUAGGCGGUUCGUCGCGUCCGGUGUGAAAGUCCAUCGCUUAACGGUGGAUCCGCGCCGGGUACGGGCGGGCUUGAGUGCGGUAGGGGAGACUGGAAUUCCCGGUGUAACGGUGGAAUGUGUAGAUAU
rnacentral:rRNA from 1 species